GAUGAACGCUGGCGGCAUGCCUAACACAUGCAAGUUAUACGGCUUUACUAGAAAUAGUAAAGUAGUAACGGACGGGUGAGUAAUGUGUAAGAAUCUACGCUUAGGAUAGGGAAAACAGUUGGAAACGUCUGCUAAUACCUCAUAAUGCUAAAAAGCUAAAGGUAAUCCGCCUAAGCAGGAGCUUGCAUCUGAUUAGCUUGUUGGUGAGGUAACGGCUCACCAAGGCUAUGAUCAGUAGCUGAUUUGAGAGGAUGAUCAGCCACACUGGGAUGGAGAACGGAACAGACUUCUACGGAAGGCAGCAGUGAGGAAUUUUCCGCAAUGGGUGAAAGCCUGACGGAGCAAUGCCGCGUGAAGGAAGAAGGCCUUCGGGUUGUAAACUUCUUUUCUCAUAAAAGAAGAAAUGACGGUAUAUGAGGAAUAAGCAUCGGCUAAUUCCGUGCCAGCAGCCGCCGCAGUAA
rnacentral:rRNA from 1 species